AUUGAACGCUGGCGGCAGGCCUAACACAUGCAAGUCGAACGAGCGGCGGACGGGUGAGUAAUGUCUGGGAAACUGCCUGAUGGAGGGGGAUAACUACUGGAAACGGUAGCUAAUACCGCAUACUAUCAGAUGUGCCCAUAUGGGAUUAGCUUGUAGGUGGGGUAACGGCUCACCUAGGCGACGAUCUCUAGCUGGUCUGAGAGGAUGAUCAGACACACUGGAACUGAGACACGGCCCAGACUCCGACGGGAGGCAGCAGUGGGGAAUAUUGCACAAUGGGCGAAAGCCUGAUGCAGCCAUGCCGCGUGUAUGAAGAAGGCCUUAGGGUUGUAAAGUACUUUCAGCGGGGAGGCGUUACCCGCAGAAGAAGCACCGGCUAACUCCGUGCCAGCAGCCGCGGUAAUUC
rnacentral:rRNA from 1 species